UAAGGAAAAGUGUAAAUGCACAUAGGCCUUUGAAGCCUAAAGUAUAGCCUUAA
rnacentral:tRNA from 1 species